rnacentral:rRNA from 1 species
AGCAGCCGCGGUAAUUCCAGCUCCAAUAGCGUAUAUUAAAGUUGUUGCAGUUAAAAAGCUCGUAGUUGAAUUUCGGAAUCUGUCCAUCGGUCGGGCUUUAUUGUCCGUACUGGUGUGGUGGGUUCUUACCUUCUGAAUAACCAGCAUGCCAUUUAUUUGGUGCGUUGGGGAAGCAGGACUAUUACCUUGAAAAAAUUAGAGUGCUCAAAGCAGGCUAGUGCCUGAAUACAUUAGCAUGGAAUAAUAAAAUAGGACGGCAUGGUUCUAUUUUGUUGGUUUCUAGGAUCACCGUAAUGAUUAAUAGGGAUAGUUGGGGGCAUUAGUAUUCAAUUGUCAGAGGUGAAAUUCUUGGAUUUAUUGAAGACUAACUUCUGCGAAAGCAUUUGCCAAGGAUGUUUUCAUUAAUCAAGAACGAAAGUUAGGGGAUCGAAGACGAUCAGAUACCGUCGUAGUCUUAACCAUAAACUAUGCCGACUAGGGAUCGGACGAUGUAAUUUUUAAUGACUCGUUCGGCGCCUUA